rnacentral:lncRNA from 1 species
CAACAAUUUGAAUUAAAAAAAAUCUAAAAAUUCAAUUUAUUUUUCUUUAUAUCGGUCCUCAAUCAUGAGAAAAAUGCCUCAACAUGUUCAGAACUACUGCUGUUGACGCAUUAACACACGAUUAAUUAAUAAAAAAAAAAAAAAAAAAAAAAAGAAAACUUUAAUAUUUUUUAUGCCAAUUAAUUACAUUCUACUGAGUUCUGCUGGAGUAUUUGGAUACGUGAUCCGGCUUGUUGUCAUGGUAACAUGGUAAGACACCACUGAAGCGACACAGACCUCAACUGAAGUGGCAAAGUGUUGCAUGUCUAAAAAGAAAGCUCGGACAAAGAGAGAACGUUCACCUCUAACAGCUUGUUUUUUUGUCCACAAAAGGACUCACCUGAGCUCGCAGCUUUUGCUUUUCGGCCUCCAGAGACCCGAGGUGAGCCGACAGCGCCAUCAUCACCUGAGGAGAGGGAGAAGAGGACGUCCGGUGAGCCGACACAUACCUGGAAUCUGUUUGAGAUUCAAAAUCGAAUGGAUCAGGAAAUGGAGGAGCUCAUCGGCAGAAAUCGGAACCUUCAUAACUGAACUUCAGACCCAGCUCGAUCCUCUCCAGGGACUGCUGGAUGAUGCCGCUCUUCUCCUGCUCCACGCUGCCGCUGGAGGACUCCACCCGGCUCUCCAUCGCCUCCUGCAGGCUCUCCAGCAGGCUGUGGUUCUCCCCCCUCAGCGCCUCCAGCCCCGCGAUCACCUGCUGGGUGCUGCACAGGAUCUCCUCCGCCGACAGCAUCGCUCCUGCUCCAGGCCUCCUCGCCUCAGAGAAACGGGGCUGAGAGCGGCAGGAAGGAGGAGAAAUGAACGGAAACUAAAUGAAUAAUAGUCAGAAAUGACAAACAAAAAUGUUUUAAUUGUGAAUCUACUGGAAUUACGUUGAUCCUGUUAAUGAAAAGUUAUAGUACGUUAAAGAUUUUGUGUGUAAGCAUCACCGGUGACACGUCAGGUGUUAUAUUUUUCAGGGCAACUAAAAAACAAGUGUUGUGCAGCACAAGAUAAUUAAUCUAAAUUUCUAGGUUUUUAAAAUUCUAAACUGCUAGGUUUUGUUAUUUUAGUUUGGGGUUGGACCUUGAUAGUCUUAGUUGUCUUAUUGUUUUCUUUAGCUAGUUUUGGUUAGCCGGCCCUUAAGCGAGGAGCUGCUGAUUCCGACGAUCGACAUUUAUGUCAAUAGGGGGGAAGAGACCCCAAGAGAUGUUGUUUCUCCAACAU